AUUGAACGCUGGCGGCAUGCCUAACACAUGCAAGUCGAACGAAGGCUUCGGCCUUAGUGGCGCACGGGUGCGUAACGCGUGGGAAUCUGCCCUUGGGUUCGGAAUAACUCAGAGAAAUUUGAGCUAAUACCGGAUGAUGACGUAAGUCCAAAGAUUUAUCGCCCAAGGAUGAGCCCGCGUAAGAUUAGCUAGUUGGUGGGGUAAAGGCCUACCAAGGCGACGAUCUUUAGCUGGUCUGAGAGGAUGAUCAGCCACACUGGGACUGAGACACGGCCCAGACUCCUACGGGAGGCAGCAGUGGGGAAUAUUGGACAAUGGGCGAAAGCCUGAUCCAGCAAUGCCGCGUGAGUGAUGAAGGCCUUAGGGUUGUAAAGCUCUUUUACCAGGGAUGAUAAUGACAGUACCUGGAGAAUAAGACUCCGGCUAACUCCGUG
rnacentral:rRNA from 1 species